rnacentral:lncRNA from 1 species
GCUUAAUCUCCGGGUUCUGGAAAACAAGUGGUCUAGAACGGCGAUUAGAGGCGAGUUCGCUACAUCUGGGGGCGUCUUGAAGACACUAAAACCGCUAAUUCUUUUUCCAAGUAAUGAGAUUUCUUCCCCUUUUUGUCUCCCCAUCUCCCCCCUUGUCAGUGAACGCCUAAAUGUGGCGGCUUCUCUCUGGCUGCAGGACUGGUCAUCGGCCGGUGGAGAAGGGGUGGGCAGCCACGCACCCGCGGGAGAAGUUCUGUCUCCCGGGUCAGACCCGCCCCGGGCGCUGAGAGGGGGAGAGGAGGAGGCGCAGACGCAGUGCAAAGAUCCAGACUCACGUGCGGGGCGGGCGCUGGCUGCAGACAGUGUAAUGCAGAGCAGAACUGGAUUGGGACCCACCCCAGUCACAUACACGCCCUGCCAGCUGGGGAGUGUGACCCAGCCCCUGCGAGCCUCAGUUUCCCCACACUAAUACCGGAUUAACAGGAGGUGGCUAUGAAGAGUCCAUGGGCCUGGCAUGUGGCGAGAGGCCAUCACACAGCAGAUGGCAGAAUGCUGUGUUAUAGUGUUUCAUGCAUUUCGCAAGGCAGCUAGCAUACACCCCUGAUGGAUACAUGGAUGGAGAUAUUGAACCUGCACAGCUGCUGACGGCCCCAGGCUGGAGACGGCGAACGCUGCGUGCCUCCUGAUGGAAACACGAAGCUCCAUCAGGUUGUCUCACUAAAAAAGCCAAACUUGAGUCUGAUCAAGCCUCAAAAACUGAUUGUCAAUUCAUCGAAAAUACAGAGGGCAGAGGGAUGCGUUGGAAGCCAUCAUGGGGCCGCGGUUGGUAAAGCCCACACUGGGACACACAAGUCAAGCUUCUGGUGUCUUAAAAAAAAUUUUUUUUUUUAAAGAGAAAGGUCCAGCCACUUUGGAAGACAGUUUGGCGGUUUCUUACCAAACUAAACAUACUCUUAUAUGAUCCAGCACCCAUGCUCCUUGGUGUUGAUCCAAAGGUAGUUGAAAACUUAUUUCCACAAAUGUUUAUAGCAGCUUUAUUCAUAUUUGCCAAAACUUAGAAGCAACCGAGAUGUCCUUCGGUAGGUGAUGGAGAAAUAAACUGUGGUCCCUCCAGACAAUGGAAUAUUAUUCAGCCCUGAAAAGAAAUGAGCGAUCAAGCCAUGAAAAGACAUGGAGGAAACUGAAAAGCAUCAGAAGUGAAAGAAACCAGUCUGAAAAGGCUACAGACUGUGUGAUUCCAGCUCUACGAUGUUCUGGAAAGGGCGGAACUGUGGAGCCAGGAAAAAGCUCAGAGGUUGCCAGGCCUUCCAGGAGUGACGGAUAGAUGUGCACGGAGGAUUUUCCAGGCAGUGAAAAUUCUCUGUGUGAUACUCUAAGGAUGGAUACACGCCAUUAUGUUUUUGCCCAAAUCCAUAGAAUUUAGGACGCCAAGAUUGAAGUGUAUUGUAAACUAUAGACUGUGGGUGAUAAUGAUGCGUCAAUGUAGGUUCAUCAGUUUUAACAAAUGUCCCACUCUGGAUGGGGAUGUUGAUAAUGGGGGAGGCUGUGCAAGUGCAAAGGCAGAGGGUAUAUGGGGAAUCUCUGUACCUUCCUCUCCAUUUUGCUACGGGCCUAAAACUGCUGUGAAAAGUACUCCUCGCCCACCCCCACCCCUCCCUGUGCAUCCACUCAUGUUCAUGGGGCCCCCGGGCGACAGCAGCGACCUGAACUCAGAGAGCCCCUCACGGGGCUUCCUUUCCAGCAGGAGGGCAGAGGGAGACACAGCAAAUACGCCUUCAACAUACAUCACUCCUCCAGCUGACGCCAGCUGGGUGUCCAGCGGUUCAGUUCAGUCCUGACCCUGUCUGCCUGGAGGUAGUGUCGGAUCUCACGAGUGAAGGGGCUCCGUCCCACAAGACCGCCCCCACUUCAGAUGCCAAGUGCAGGUCCUGGGCCACCCCUGCUUCUGUUGGCCGGCUGUAAACCAGGGCUUCCCAUGGCCCCCUCCUCAGCUUCGGAAAUUUGCUAGAAUGGCUCACAGA